UACGGAGGGUGCGAGCGUUAAUCGGAAUACUGGGCGUAAAGCGCACGCAGGCGGUCUGUUAAGCAAGAUGUGAAAGCCCCGGGCCUCAACCUGGGAACUGGCAUUUUGAACUUGGCAGGCUGAGAGUCUUGGAGAGGGGAGGUGGAAUUG
rnacentral:rRNA from 1 species